UCUUCGGCAAUGGGCGCAAGCCUGACCGAGCGACGCCGCGUGCGGGAUGAAGGCCUUCGGGUUGUAAACCGCUGUCGUAGAGGAGGAAAUGCAGGGGGGUUCUCCCUUCUGUUUGACCUAUUCUAGGAGGAAGUACGGGCUAAGUUCGUGCCAGCAGCCGCGGUAAGACGAACCGUACAAACGUUACUCGGAAUUACUGGGCUUAAAGGGUGCGUAGGCUGCGCGGAAAGUUGGGUGUGAAAGCCCUCGGCUCAACCGAGGAAUUGCACUCAAAACUACCGUGCUUGAGGGAGACAGAGGUAAGCGGAACUCAAGGUGGAGCGGUGAAAUGCGUUGAUAUCUUGAGGAACACCGGUGGCGAAGGCGGCUUACUGGGUCUUUUCUGACGCUGAGGCACGAAAGCUAAGGUAGCAAACGGGAUUAGAUACCCCGGUAGUCUUAGCUGUAAACGAUGAGCACUUGGUUGGAGGGUCCUCCAUAGCCUUCCAGUCGUAGCGAAAGUGUUAAGUGCUCCGCCUGGGGA
rnacentral:rRNA from 1 species